GGCCAAAACCAACGAAAUAAUAAAACACCAAAAAUACCGAGUCAAAAACGCCCCCGCGACAAGGUCCCUCGGGCCACCUCCGCGUCCAGCGUCCUCCAACCCCCCCUCCCCUCCCUUCCCGACCCAAUCCGGAGAGCCCGAUCCCGCCAUGGCGUCGGAGAUCGAGGUCCUCGAGGACACGACCGCCGCCGCGGCCGGCGGGGCGGCCGCCGCGGGGGAGGCGGAGGCGGCGGAGGAGGAGUCGCUCAAGGACGACGUCUGCACGGGCGCCGCGUACGGGGACCUCGAGAAGCUGCACCGCCUCGUCGAGCUGGAGGGCCGGUCGGUGACGGAGCCCGACGGCCUCGGCUACCACGCGCUCCAGUGGGCCGCCCUCAACAACCGCGUCGCCGCCGCCCAGUACAUCCUCGAGCAUGGAGCAGAUGUAAAUGCUAUAGACCAUACAGGGCAAACAGCGCUUCACUGGAGUGCAGUGCGUGGUCAUAUUCAAGUUGCAGAACUACUUCUGAAAGAAGGAGCUAAGGUUGAUGCUGCUGAUUUAUAUGGAUAUCAGACCACACAUGUUGCAGCACAGUAUGGUCAGACAGCAUUUCUUUAUCACAUUAUUUCAAAAUGGAAUGCUGAUCCUGAUGUCCCUGACAAUGAUGGCAGAAGUCCUCUUCACUGGGCUGCUUAUAAGGGAUUUGCAGACUCCAUACGCCUCCUUUUGUUUUUGGGUGCUUAUAGGGGGCGGCAAGAUAAAGAAGGUUGUACUCCUUUACAUUGGGCUGCUAUUCGGGGGAAUAUGGAGUCAUGCACUGUGUUAGUUCAGGUUGGUAAGAAGGAGGACCUUAUGGUGCAAGACAAUACUGGGUUAACUCCGGCCCAACUUGCUGCUGAUAAGAGUCACCGGCAAGUUGCAUUUUACCUUGGGAAUGCUAGAAAAGUGCAUGAAAGAGGAUGUGGUGGGAACAAUUAUUUUGGGAAACUAUCAAAAUUAGGACUCGCCCCUGUGCUUUGGUGUAUUAUCAUUGGCUUAAUUGUUGCAUAUAUACAUUCAGUUAUCGCAGGACAAUACAACUCGAAUAUGACAUUACUAUUUGGUUUCUUUUCAUGGUUGGGAGUUUUCCUUGCAAUUGCUGGACUAGUUAUGUUUUAUAGAUGUAGCAGGAAAGAUCCUGGUUACAUCAACAAGAAUAUAAGAGACUCGCAAACUCAAAGAGAUGAUGAACCUUUGUUGAAGAGGGGUCUAGAUAACCCAGAACUUCUGGCUGGCAAUUGGUCUCAACUAUGUAUUACUUGCAAAAUUGUGAGGCCCAUACGCUCAAAACACUGCUCUACAUGUGAUCGCUGUGUUGAGCAAUUUGAUCAUCACUGCCCUUGGGUUUCAAAUUGCAUCGGAAAGCCCAGCAUUGAUAACUGAACUUGGUGUACACACCCAAGCUGAGGCCAAGGAGCAAGAAAAGACUGUUCUGCGCCUAGUUGAUGAAUUGCAAUUUCUUUUGUUCACUUUUUAUUAUUUAUUAUAUAUAAACUUGCGGCAUCGUUCAGUCUAAGCAACAAUUGGUUUCAAUUGCAGAAGAACAAAUGGGAGUUCUUUAUGUUUCUUAUCCUAGAAGUUUCUGCGAUGAUCAUUACUGCUGCAACGGCUGUCAUAAGAGUCGCAGGUGAUCCAGGCUCUCCAGCAUCGUUUGGUGGAUGGCUUAACUAUUCAGCUACGAACCAUCCUUGGGUGGUGUCUUUUGUUAUAAUGGAUCUCUUCCUUUUCUUCGGCGUUAUAACUCUAACAGUAGUUCAAGCAUCACAGAUAUCCGGGAAUAUAACAACAAAUGAGAUGGCAAAUGCCAUGAGGUACAGUUAUCUCAGAGGCCCGGGUGGUCGGUUCAGAAAUCCAUUUGAUCACGGGGUGAGGAAGAAUUGUUCUGACUUCUUCCUGAAGGGGUACAAUGAGGAUAUUGAGAAGGUAGAACAGACGUCACAUCCUGACGAGGAAAUGGCAAUUAUGCACAUGACAAGAAGUGCAGUCUCGCAGAACGGUGAGAGUGUGCCACUUCAUGCUAAUGGUGCUGACCAUGUUUGUGCUGACUCACAAACCAACUCAAAAUCGCAUCGCCAAGUUAGUUCGUCUAAAUGUUGUGAUCACAGUAAGAAGACUGACAAAACCCCUUUGGGCCUAGGGUUGGGCCUUGGACGAAACAAUCCCUCUAGCCGUUAUGCACGGAAUCUUCUCCCCUUGUGACUCAUUUGGAGAAUGGCCCCUUGUUCCCUUGCGAUUCAUUUGGAGAAGGCAAGUGUUCUCUUAUUUUAGUUGUAUGUGUUCGUUACACCACGACAGUUGGCUGGCUAUUUCUUCAUAUUGCUAUCGCUUCUUUCUGGCUGCACUGAUAUCGUCAAGGUUGAUGACUAGAUGCAGAGCCACAGAUUCAGUGAGUAUUGAGAUGGCAAGAGCACAAAAGGAGAUCGAAGUUGUAUGAGAGCUCCAAGCGGCAGAAAAAUUCUGAAGGCAUAAUAUUCUUUUGCGUGCAAAAAAUGCACCAGUGUACAUUAUGUUUGACAUUUUGUAUGUACAUGAAGGGUUGAUAGUUCAGAUGCUGUCCUAUUUCGGAAAAUACAGUUGUACAUUGGAAGAGCUGUAAAUUACGAAGUAACCUAAUGCUGGAACGUGAUUUUUCCUGUUUCUUUUUC